CCUAUUGUGGAGGCAUGUGCCUAUGUGUGUCUACACUGAAGUAAGAAGAAUGAUAGAAAACGAACACUAUCUGGAUGCCUAGUCUAAAGAAAGAUCGCCACACUGAAGCACAUACCCAGGGCAUGGGUGGGAGCAUCUGCUAACACCUCUGAGUGGGGCGUACAUCGGGGCACCGUACAAACAGGACCGCAUGUUCCAAGGGUCCCCCUCCUGUGGAAUGCAUCAGUGCCUUGUCUUCUCAUCAGCAAUUACAGACAGAUUUUCUCAGCAUGGGAACUGCCGUGGCAAUCAGAUGACUGUACCGGAAGCAUUUUUGGGAUGGGUGUGUGAAGAUGGCCUAAUUGUAUUCGUUCCCAGUUUUGUAAUCUGUUUUAUUAAUGUCCUGGAGGCAAAAAAAAAUGCUUUUGGAAUUUUCCCCUA